rnacentral:rRNA from 1 species
AUGGCGGCCGCAGCAAACCCUCCCGCGGCCCUCCCGUCGGCGCCCCCGCCCUCGUACCCCGCCACCGCCGCCCACUGCGCCUCCUCCUCCUCCGCCGCGGCCGAGGACGACGACGACCUCUACGGCCGCCUCAAAUCGCUCCAGCGCCACAUGGAGUUCGUCGAGAUCCAGGAGGAGUACGUCAAGGACGAGCAGAAGAACCUGAAGCGCGAGCUGCUGCGCGCGCAGGAGGAGGUCAAGCGGAUCCAGUCCGUGCCCCUCGUCAUCGGCCAGUUCAUGGAGAUGGUCGACGGCAACAACGGCAUCGUCGGAUCCACCACGGGGAGCAACUACUACGUGCGGAUCCUCAGCACCAUCAACCGCGAGCUGCUCAAGCCGUCGGCGUCGGUCGCCCUGCACCGCCACUCCAACGCGCUCGUCGACGUGCUGCCGCCCGAGGCCGACUCCAGCAUCUCGCUGCUCGCUUCGUCGGAGAAGCCCAACGUCCUGUAUUCGGACAUUGGAGGAUGUGAUAUUCAAAAACAAGAAAUUCGGGAGGCAGUUGAGCUACCAUUGACACACCAUGAGUUGUACAAGCAGAUUGGUAUUGAUCCUCCAAGAGGGGUGCUACUCUAUGGUCCUCCAGGCACUGGCAAGACCAUGCUUGCUAAAGCUGUGGCACAUCACACUACUGCUGCUUUUAUCAGAGUGGUUGGUUCAGAGUUUGUGCAGAAGUACUUGGGUGAGGGCCCAAGGAUGGUUCGAGAUGUAUUCCGCUUAGCUAAAGAGAAUGCCCCGGCUAUAAUAUUCAUUGAUGAGGUUGACGCUAUAGCAACUGCCCGAUUCGAUGCUCAGACUGGAGCUGACCGAGAAGUUCAGCGUAUUUUGAUGGAGCUGCUCAAUCAGAUGGACGGAUUUGAUCAGACAGUGAAUGUGAAGGUUAUAAUGGCGACCAAUCGGGCAGAUACUCUAGAUCCUGCUCUGCUGCGUCCAGGAAGACUGGACAGGAAAAUUGAGUUCCCUCUGCCAGACCGGAGGCAGAAGAGGCUUGUUUUCCAAGUAAGUUUCUUCGUAAAUGCUUAUUUGGUUUGUACUUCUAAAAUGAAUUUAAGUGACGAGGUUGAUUUGGAAGAUUAUGUCUCCAGACCAGAUAAAAUCAGCGCUGCAGAUAUAACUGCUAUUUGCCAGGAAGCUGGCAUGCAUGCUGUUCGGAAAAAUCGGUAUGUUAUUCUCCCCAAGGACUUCGAGAAGGGUUACCGGACCAACGUCAAGAAGCCUGAUACAGAUUUUGACUUCUACAAGUGA